AGGCUUCUUCGUGACGGGAGAGAUUUUGUUCAUCAUAAGGCCUCUUGUGUAUGUACUAUUGAUGAGGAAAUAUGGAACGCAGUCGUGGUUUCCCUGGUGUGUGUCACUGGCUGUGGACCUCAUCGGAAAUAGCAUUCUCUCAGUUACAUUGAUGUCUCAACAUAGCGGGAAAAAUCAGCAACUUCAGUUUUCUGACUCUGAGAAGGACGAGUUAAAAAGACGAAGAAUGUUAUGGGCGUUGUACCUCAUGCGAGAUCCACUUUUUACCAAGUAUACCAGGCAAAGACUUGAAAGCACUCAAAGGCUAGUGCAACCCAUCCCCAUUCUUGGAUUUGUUGCAGAAAAAAUAAUUGAAAUUCUUAUUGGCGUCCAAACGCGUUACACGUACAUUUCUGGUUCAUAACAGGGGGAAGCUAUCAGGAGAAAUUUGAAGCGUCUAGAUCUAGACAUUUGCAGUCUCCUUCUUUAGUCGUUUUCAUGAUGAAUUUGGGGAGAAUUCACUAUAUAUCUAUGUUGUCUUGGCAGGCUUACGCAAAGUAUAGUCAUCUAUGUUCAAAAAUUGUCAAUGUUUCCUUUUAGUAUAGUCAUCUAGUUUCCAAGAAACCCUUUUUGCCAUAUCUACCAAGGGUUUCUCUGAUAUUGUCAAAGUAGAUUAAACCUUUAUCAUAAAUCAUUACUGAAAUGAAUGAUUCAAG
rnacentral:misc_RNA from 1 species